UGGGGAAUUUUGGACAAUGGGGGAAACCCUGAUCCAGCCAUCCCGCGUGUGCGAUGAAGGCCUUCGGGUUGUAAAGCACUUUUGGCAGGAAAGAAACGUCGCGGGUUAAUACCCCCGCNAAACUGACGGUACCUGCAGAAUAAGCACCGGCUAACUACGUGCCAGCAGCCGCGGUAAUACGUAGGGUGCAAGCGUUAAUCGGAAUUACUGGGCGUAAAGCGUGCGCAGGCGGUUCGGGAAAGAAAGAUGUGAAAUCCCCNGAGCUUAACUUUUGGAACUGCAUUUUUAACUACCGGGCUAGAGUGUGUCAGAGGGAGGUGGAAUUCCGCGUGUAGCAGUGAAAUGCGUAGNUAUGCGGAGGAACACCGAUGGCGAAGGUAGCCUCCUGGGAUAACACUGACGCUCAUGUACGAAAGCNUGGGGAGCAAACAGGAUUAGAUACCCUGGUAGUCCACGCCCUAAACGUGUCCAAC
rnacentral:rRNA from 1 species